GAUGAAGAACGUAGUGAAAUGCGAUAAGUAAUGUGAAUUGCAGAAUUCAGUGAAUCAUCGAAUCUUUGAACGCACAUUGCGCCCCUUGGUAUUCCGAGGGGCAUGCCUGUUCGAGCGUCAUUAUAACCCCUCAAGCUCAGCUUGGUAUUGGGGCCUGCCAUCCUGGCAGCCCUUAAAAUCAGUGGCGGUGCCAUCCGGCUCUAAGCGUAGUAACUCUUCUCGCUAUAGAGUCCUGGUGGAUGCUUGCCAUUAAUCUUUUAACUUCUAUGGUUGACCUCGGAUCAGGUAGGGAUACCAGCUGAACUUAAGCAUAUCAAUAAGCGGAGGA
rnacentral:misc_RNA from 1 species